rnacentral:lncRNA from 1 species
GAGCCAACUUUAUCCAGAUCUUUUGUGGAGGGAAGAUCCAUCUUUAUUCUCAGACAUAGUUCUACUACCAGGCUAUAGAAAGAACAGGGAAGAGGAAGAAGCGGCUCUUGGUGUUUCUCCGCUUGCCCUCACUCUGGUUGGUUUUAUCAUCAAUGCUGGGAUGCUUCUGCUGGACCCGUGACGAUGACUGUGGGGCUUUUCCUCUUUCCUCUGCUCAUGUGCCUUGUUAUCAGUCAUCAGAAAGUGGCUCCUGGACAUAGUGUAUUUAUCUUCAUCUGAUGUGCAAAGAACAUGCGUAUUGAUUUCUGCUCUCAUCUCCCAUCGAUGCAAGAUGUAGCAUGGAUUUCCUGUUCACACAGUCUUGGUACAUCCUGUGAGUGAACCUCCCAGUGACCCAAGAUGCUGCUGUGUGGGUUUCCUGUUUAUUCUCAAUGCACGUAGUGGUUGGAUGGCGUAGUGGUUGGAUGGCUCAUCGGCCCAGGACUCAGCAUGAAUUUUCUGUCUACUCUUUCUUGGCACACCAGUGGCUGGAUCUCCAAUCAGUUCAGUCAGCUUCCUGUUCAUGAUCGAUACAUGCAGUGCUUGGCCCUCUGGUCAGCUCAGGUACAUAGCACGCAUUUCCUGCUCACCCCCUUCUGGUACAUUGGUGGGUGGAGCUCUCAGCAGCACAGGACUCAGUGAGUGUUUUCUUUUCGCCAUUUCUUGGUCCAUUAGUGGCUGAGCCUCC